rnacentral:rRNA from 1 species
CCUACGGGAGACAGCAGUCGAGAAUCAUUCACAAUGGGGGAAACCCUGAUGGUGCGACGCCGCGUGGGGGAAUGAAGGUCUUCGGAUUGUAAACCCCUGUCAUAUGGGAGCAAAUUAAAACGAUAGUACCUCAAGAUGACUAGACGGCUAACUCGGUGCCAGCAGCCGCGGUAAUACAGAGGUCUCAAGCGUUGUUCGGAAUCACUGGGCGUAAAGCGUGCGUAGGCUGUUUCGUAAGUCGGGUGUGAAAGGCGCGGGCUCAACCCGCGGACUGCACAUGAUACUGCGAGACUAGAGUAAAGGAGGGGGAACCGGAAUUCGCGGUGUAGCAGUGAAAUGCGUAGAUAUCGAGAGGAACACUCGUGGCGAAGGCGGGUUCCUGGACAGUAACUGACGCUGAGGCACGAAGGCGAGGGGAGCGAAAGGGAUUAGAUACCCCAGUAGUC